CAGCAGCCGCGGUAAUACGGAGGGUGCAAGCGUUAAUCGGAAUUACUGGGCGUAAAGCGCACGCAGGCGGUCUGACAAGUCAGAUGUAAAAUCCCCGGGCUUAACCUGGGAACUGCAUUUGAAACUGUCAGGCUGGAGUCUUGUAGAGGGGGGUGGAAUUCCAGGUGUAGCGGUGAAAUGCGUAGAGAUCUGGAGGAAUACCGGUGGCGAAGGCGGCCCCCUGGACAAAGACUGACGCUCAGGUGCGAAAGCGUGGGGAGCAAACAGGAUUAGAUACCCCUGUAGUCCCUGUCUCUUAUAC
rnacentral:rRNA from 1 species